UUGACCAUCACUUUGAUCCAGAAUAAAAAAAUCCCACAAGAUAAAGAAAAGAAAAGAGAAUUCACAAUUUUAUCAUCUCUUUAAUCAUCGUAAUGAACCAACAAUAGAACAGGAUUUCUGAAAUAGACACAUAUAAAAUGAGAACCCUAAGAGAAAUUCACAAAAACAAACCAGUGACCCAAAUUUUGAUCAUCAGUUGGACCAAAGAACAGAACCCUGAAACUAUCCUUCAAGACUUCUUCUAUGUGUGAAUAAAGAACAUGAUUAUCGUACUGGAAUCCAUCUUCAGAAAUCCUUGUCUAAUUCUUUUUGACCGAGAAACCCCAAGCCUCACUUUGAAGAACUAGGGGUUGUAGUAGGUUCUACAUAAC
rnacentral:lncRNA from 1 species